UAGUUUUACUACAUGCAUUGGGCGCGUUUACCCGCAUGUCAAACAUGAAAGAACUUAUAUUCGUAAUUUUCGUUACUAUUGUUGGAGCUGUUCUUAGUGACGAACUUUUUCAAGGAUGCGGCAACAAUGAGGUGUACAGCACGUGUGGAACACUUUGUCCGGAAACUUGUGAAAAGCGAGGCGACUCUUACCAGGCGUGUGGGUUGGCCUGUACCAAAGGAUGUUUCUGUCUGCCAGGGUAUGUGCGAGAUAAAAACCACAGAUGUGUAAUGCCACGGGACUGUCCAAAAACGGUUCUGCAUAAAAAAUUGUAGGAUAAAAGGAUAACUUAUCAAAAGAAUGCAUAUAAGCAAAAAAUUAUUCCAAAGUUUGAGUAAUUGUAUUUCAUUUUAUUUCAUAAAUUAGGUUGGUAUCUAAACAGAUUAUUAUCCCAAAUAACACCAAAUACUACUCUCUACUAUGAGUCUAUAGAUUUCACCAUCGACACUUCUCAUGUCGAACCAUUCAAAGUUAUUUUGUAAUUACAAAAACAGAAAUAUAGGUAUGUAAACAAA